rnacentral:other from 1 species
UGAAGUCUGCCCUGUACGUGGCACGGGAGUUGUCAUUGGGGCCUACACCGAGGGCUGAUGGGAAGCUGACUUCGGAUGCGUCGGUGUAGCAUCCGAGGGGCUACCCACCUGAAAAUUUGAGGCCCACGGCACUUCUCGUGCUACGGCAGGGUGGACUAAUC